CUGUUUCUCAUCCCCUGAUUACUGGUGUGUGUAUUUAAGCCCUGUGUGUUCUCCUGCCUGUUGCCGGUUCGUCUGUGUUCCACGGUGUCCUGUUCCUCAUCUGUGUCUCUCUGCCUCUCACCCCGUUCGUAUGUUCUCUGGUUUGUUAUUUAGUUUUCCCAGUUUAGGUUGUUCUGUUAACUCUCUUCCCUCACUGCCUGUUUUUUGCCACUCCACCAUUUGUAAAUAAAUGUCACUCGAAUCAUCAGUCACUGCCUGCAUUUUGGGUCCUCCUUUUCCUCCAACACCACACGGCACACAGGAAGCAUUACCUGUGAGAUCUUCCCUCUGAUGGCGGUCAAGUAGUGUCGGAGCACAUGGAAAAAAAAUAUCUUGGCCCCGAACUCUGACCAUAAAGGGAAUAACGUCUGUGGAGUUAUUUGUUUUGGGAAAUCCCGGUUGGUUUUUUGAACUACCAGAAAGGAUUCUAGAGAACCACUGACGGCGAGAAAAGCCCAAAUGAGAUCCUGGAUGAUCGUGAAAUGGUGUGGCCAGCCAUGCAAUCGCAUUGUGGGAUUUGCCUGAGAAACUGAUUCAAGCAACCCUGGAUUUCAGAUAAGCCCUAUGCACUACUUUUCCUACCGGGAUAAUAGGGUCUGCACACUGACAAUUCCCCUACAGUACACCUGUUUGGUUUUCAACGACUUUAAAGGACAAUUCAGACUGGACAAUUCAAACUUCACAAGAGGAACACUUUAAUCUGUUUCAUUCAUUCAAAAGAGCUCUGAUACAAUUCAGUAUAAGUCUUCCAUUUAAGUGUCUUUAUUUUAUUUUGUUCUGUUUUACAUCUAUUCACCUUUAAAAUGCACUAUUAGUGUGCAGUUUGGUUUAUUGUGUUGUACAUGUUUAUGAAUGGUACUGAGGCAAUAAAAGUCCCAGUUAUUCACUUCCAAGCCAACUCCUUUUGUGAGUCUCCAAAACAAAACCUCCUUCUGAACCUAGUAAGAUGUCUAGGGUCUCUAUUUGAAGUGAAAGUGUACUGGUCCUGAGUAGAGGCACUACACAGGGAAA